GCCAAAAUUAGAGUCAUCUCCUGGUGCAGCAUAUGUCCUGGUGGGCUAGAGUUCUCAGAGAAAAUCUUCUGGUCUUGGUGUACCAACAGGAGCAGCCAAUGCCUGUAUUAGUGCUCACAGCAGAAAUGUGC
rnacentral:snoRNA from 1 species